UACGAAGGGGGCUAGCGUUGUUCGGAAUUACUGGGCGUAAAGCGCACGUAGGCGGCUUCUUAAGUCGGUGGUGAAAUCCUGGAGCUCAACUCCAGAACUGCCUUCGAUACUGGGAAGCUCGAGUCCGGGAGAGGUGAGUGGAACUGCGAGUGUAGAGGUGAAAUUCGUAGAUAUUCGCAAGAACACCAGUGGCGAAGGCGGCUCACUGGCCCGGUACUGACGCUGAGGUGCGAAAAGCGUGGGGAGCAAACAGG
rnacentral:rRNA from 1 species